rnacentral:rRNA from 1 species
UACGAAGGGGGCGAGCGUUGUUCGGAAUUACUGGGCGUAAAGGGCGCGCAGGCGGCUCUGAAAGUCAGAUGUGAAAGCCCCGGGCUUAACCUGGGAAUUGCAUUUGAUACUGAGGAGCUUGAGUCCGGGAGAGGUGAGUGGAACUGCGAGUGUAGAGGUGAAAUUCGUAGAUAUUCGCAAGAACACCAGUGGCGAAGGCGGCUCACUGGCCCGGUACUGACGCUGAGGUGCGAAAGCGUGGGGAGCAAACAGG